GGGGAGGCAGGCAACACCAGCCCUCAGGCUACACUCUCCAUUUGGAGCAGAGCUUCUUCGGCAGCCCCAGGUCUCCCGGGAUCUUCCUCGGUGUCCUGCGGAGGCUCUGGCUCCAGCGUGGGCUCCAGCGCAGGCUGGGCUUCCGGCUGGGCUUCAGCGCUCCGGCCAGGCCCAAGGCGAGGCGGCUUGACCGGGGUGGGCGGUGGCGCUGCAGGGCCUUUCCGGCCCGAAAGGGCCCUUCGGAGGCUCUGUACCUUCUGCAAUCCGGUGCGCCGCAGCCGCUGGGCCCUGGACUCCACCGGCUCCUCGUCCGAGCUCUCUCCAACUUCGGCCUCCAGCUGCUCUGGGCCCAGCUCGGACUGGUCCGCCGGGCCCAAGGGCUCUGGUGCCUUCUGGAAAGCGCUGGCUGGGACUUCACCCUCCUCCUGCAUGUGACGGACACAGCACUGAUCCUGGCAGCUCCUUACCCCCAGCAGCCCGAAACUCACUCCUUAAUUACACAAGGGAAACCUUUUACCUCCGCAGCCAGAGUCUGGGGGGAAAGGCAGGCGUGGGAAGAUGGGUUCUCUACCUGGCCAGUGCCAUGUUGCCUGUUUCUUUACUGUAACUGUGGUGACAAAGAAAAGGGAAGAUGGAGCCUCCAUGUUGAACAUACCUGGCCCCCAGCACUAACUCCCUCUCUGGAUAUCUGGAACAAGGAGGACCUUAAACUUAACAAUAAAGCCAAUGAUGGUUCUACCAGUCUCCCCAAAGCCUCAAGUUUAAAAGCCAUAUGAACUGGCUGAUAGUGGAAAAUGGAAGCCAUGAGGAAAUCAGAUUAGAGUACUACCUGGUGAAGCCUGGAGGACCUACCAAGAAAAGCAAACUUGGAUCUUUGCAAGGUUAGAAGAACGAAUGGGAUCCAAGAAAAAGACUGGUCAUAUUCAACGGCUAAGAGCGUUGGAGAAGGCCUGUGGAGUCUCAGCAGGUCAGGUCCAUGACUCAUGAGUAGACACCUGUGUUUCUACUGCCUGGUGCCAUAAUCAUAAACAAGGUGAGCAGGGGCAAAUAAGAUCCUAGUUCAGUACUAUUCACUAUAAAUAUAAUGUAUGUAAUUUAAAAUUUUCUAGUAGCCAUAUUUUAAAAUUUUUUUAAUGAAAUUAACUUUUAAAAGAUAUUUAGUUUAACUCAAUAUAUCCAAAAUAUUGCCAUUUUAACAUGUAAUCAUAUUUGUUAGGUAUUAAUUAGAUAUUUUACAUUCUUUUAGGUCUCUGAAAUCUGGUAUAUAUUUUAUA
rnacentral:lncRNA from 1 species